CCACCCCUCUCUCUCCACGCCUCUCCGGCUGCUGCCAGUGGAUGUUCCAGGGACUCCCGCCAUCUGGUGAGGUCCCGGCAUGGAUCUUAUGAUUCAACAUAUCACUAACGGCUGGAAUACACGUAUACACACACACACACACACACACUCUCUCUCUCUCUCUCUCUCAUGAAAUAUGUAUGGAUACUCUCUACUUGUAUAUUGACUCCCGUUCGGCAGUCAAACCCCUCCUCCAGCCAGCCAGCCAGCCGCACGUCCAUCCCAUGCCAUCUACCGCGUAUCCCUAUUGAGGUGCAUAAUCUACCCCC
rnacentral:sRNA from 2 species